rnacentral:lncRNA from 1 species
GAUUUCCUUUUAUUAUAUUUAUUAUUUAUUAUACAUUAUCAUCUAUUUAUUAUUUAUAUAUUUUAUAAUCUAUUAUACUCCUUUAUAGCUUUCCCCUCUGGCAACAGUGCAAAUUCCACAAAAGCAGGGCUUCUGUGUCUGUUUUACUAAUAUUUCUUGAGCACCUAGAACUAUGCCUGCCAAAGGAGAGGCUCUGCUGAAUAUGGAAGGGUGCAAACAGUAGAACGAACCUGGACCACUGAACCCCUGAAUUAUCCAACCAUCUUACUUCUGGACUUCUUAUUUUGUGACUAAAAAAUUCCUUUUGAAAUGAGAGUUAUUUGUGAUUGAGAUCUGGUUUACUUAAGAGCCAAAAAACAAAAUUCUGGAAUAUCUCUUGAUUCAAUGACAAAAGUUACAAAAAGAGUUCUUUCUAAUUGCUAGGAUGUAUUUGCAUUUUGCCAUCAUUGGAAAUAUGCCCUUACCCAGAAUUCAUUCCAAAGUAAAGUCAGAGGUAAAAGCCUUUGUUCGUUGUUUUUCUUCUGAGCUAUCAGAGUACUUACCAUAAAAAUCUCAUACUAAAUGAUGUAGUGCCAUGUCUAUUAGUAAUCAUGUGCCUGUCUUUUGCUUCCCUCCCUCUGAGUGUAGCAUAAGGAAAAUAGAAGUUCUCGGUGAUGCUGGCAGAGUGAAUAGAUUACAUCCAUGUUGUUAUGAGAGUCUGAAUCUGAACAUUGAAUCUGACCCUUCUGAGAGGACACCACACCACUAA